ACUGUUGCGUUUUUCAUACGUACGUAUACGCACGUAAAACUUUAAAUCCGUUUAAAUGUUACUUAUGAAAUAACCAAAUAAAUAAAGCAACAGAAUUUAGUGUUCCGCAAGUUUUAGUAUGCAUUUUUUAACUUAUUUGUAAAAUAUUUUAAAAACAGAAGGAUUCAAAGUUUUACGUGCGUGUACGUGCGUAAAACGCAACAGU
rnacentral:miRNA from 1 species